CGGCGGACGGGUGAGUAACACGUGGGCAACCUGCCUGUAAGACUGGGAUAACUCCGGGAAACCGGGGCUAAUACCGGAUAAUUCUUUCCCUCACAUGAGGGAAAGCUGAAAGAUGGCAUCUCGCUAUCACUUACAGAUGGGCCCGCGGCGCAUUAGCUAGUUGGUGAGGUAACGGCUCACCAAGGCAACGAUGCGUAGCCGACCUGAGAGGGUGAUCGGCCACACUGGGACUGAGACACGGCCCAGACUCCUACGGGAGGCAGCAGUAGGGAAUCUUCCGCAAUGGACGAAAGUCUGACGGAGCAACGCCGCGUGAGUGAUGAAGGCUUUCGGGUCGUAAAACUCUGUUGUUAGGGAAGAACAAGUACCGGAGUAACUGCUUGUACCUUGACGGUACCUAACCAGAAAGCCACGGCUAACUACGUGCCAGCAGCCGCGGUAAUACGUAGGUGGCAAGCGUUAUCCGGAAUUAUUGGGCGUAAAGCGCGCGCAGGCGGUUUCUUAAGUCUGAUGUGAAAGCCCACGGCUCAACCGUGGAGGGUCAUUGGAAACUGGGGAACUUGAGUGCAGAAGAGAAAAGCGGAAUUCCACGUGUAGCGGUGAAAUGCGUAGAGAUGUGGAGGAACACCAGUGGCGAAGGCGGCUUUUUGGUCUGUAACUGACGCUGAGGCGCGAAAGCGUGGGGAGCAAACAGGAUUAG
rnacentral:rRNA from 1 species